CUCCAGGCUGACACUCCCAUCCCCAGAUCCCUACCCCCGCCUCAUGUAUAUUACCUUUUGUGGCUAAGCGGAGAAGACAGAUAGAAAUGUUUACACAGAGAACUCUUCAUUACCUCUGACAGACAUAUUUUAGCCUCACAGCUUUCAAUCCCAGUCCCUGGAAGACUGCCCAGCAUUGUUGCCAGUCAGGCGGAUGGUGCUUCACGGCUCACAGCCCUGGACUGGUUUCUGAACAUGGCAUGUACUCAUGGCGGCUCUGCCUGGUCCCUGCUUCUCUCCUGCUGCUUGGAAGGAAACUGUAAUGAAUCUACACUAAAGUUCUGAGUGAAAUUCUGAGAUCAUCCUGGCAGGCAAGUGGAGAAUGGGAUGGGCGAGAGAAGAAGUGAAGGAUGUAAGGGAGGAGGAGACUGUCACAUG
rnacentral:lncRNA from 1 species